UACAGAGGGGGCAAGCGUUGUUCGGAAUCACUGGGCUUAAAGGGCGCGUAGGCGGGUGCUCAAGUCCGUGGUGAAAUCCUCCGGCUCAACCGGAGAACUGCCUCGGAUACUGGGUGCCUCGAGUGUGGUAGGGGUAUGCGGAACUAUCGGUGGAGCGGUGAAAUGCGUUGAUAUCGAUAGGAACUCCGGUGGCGAAGGCGGCAUACUGGACCACCACUGACGCUGAUGCGCGAAAGCCAGGGGAGCAAACGGG
rnacentral:rRNA from 1 species